UGUAAGCGUAUACCAAAGUUGUUGCAGUUAAAACGCUCGUAGUCGGAAUUUGGCAGUUCCGGAUGUGUGCACGUCGUGUGCGCACUUCGCGGGGAUUGCUUUUGUGGUCUUGCGUAGGAUGAGGCACUUUUAUUAGUGAACGUCCUCACGCAACCACUUUUUACUGUGAGAAAAUCAGAGUGCUCAAAGCAGGCAUUUGCCGUGAAUGUAUUAGCAUGGAAUAAUAGAAUAGGACUUGGUUCUAUUUUGUUGGUUUGUUGGGACUGAGUAAUGAUUAAGAGGGACAGUUGGGGGCAUUUGUAUUUCGGUGCUAGAGGUGAAAUUCUUAGAUUACCGAAAGACAAACUGCUGCGAAAGCGCCUGCCAAGGAUGUUUUCAUUGA
rnacentral:rRNA from 1 species